rnacentral:rRNA from 1 species
GACGAACGCUGGCGGCGUGCCUAAUACAUGCAAGUCGAACGCAGUUGCGAACGGGUGCGUACCGCGUCGGUAACUGCCUCAUAGCGGGGGAUAACUAUUGGAAACGAUAGCUAAUACCGCAUACUGUGAGAUGGACCUGCGUUGUAUUAGGUAGUUGGUGAGGUAAAGGCUCACAAAGGCGACGAUAGAUAGCCGACCUGAGAGGGUGAUCGGCCACACUGGGACUGGAACACGGGCCAGACUCCUACGGUAGGCAGCAGUAGGGAAUCUGCGGCAAUGGACGGAAGUCUGACCGAGCAACUGCGGGUGAGAGAAGGAGGUUUUCGGGUCGGAAAGCUCGUUUGUGAGAGAAGCGGUAACUAACGAGAAAGGGACGGCUAACUACGUGCCAGCAGCCGCGGUAAUUC